CGCACUCUUUUAGUAGUGAGCGGCAAACGGGUGAGUAACGCGUGGGAAGUCUACCCAUUUCUACGGAAUAACACAGAGAAAUUUGUUGCUAAUACCGUAUACGUCCCUUUUGGGUAGAAAGACUUAUCGGAGAUGGAUGAGCCCGCCGUUGGAUUAGCUAGUUGGUGAGGUAACGGCUCACCAAGGCGACGAUCCAUAGCUGGUCUGAGAGGAUGAUCAGCCACACUGGGACUGAGACACGGCCCAG
rnacentral:rRNA from 1 species